rnacentral:lncRNA from 1 species
UUGUACUAAUAUAUAUAUAAAACUAAUGAGCUUUAACUUUUCAAUUGUUACAACUUCUUUAAUUGUGUUUUCUCCUAUUAUGACUCUAGAUAAGACAUUUCUUAUUCAAUAUAAUAACCAGAAUUUGUGCUGGAACAAAGAAGUAUUUCUUGGAUUUCAAUUCACUUUGCCGAAUUAUCUAGAGUAUAUGAUCUAACUUCUAAUUGCAGAUCCCUUUACUAGCGAGUAUUGAGGAAGGACUUCUCAUAAAAUCACAUCACGGAAUACAUUUUUGAAGGAAUAUCCAAAAGUUAUGAAAUUGUUAGUUCCUUCGUAGUAAAUCAUAUUUCUCUUGUAUUGUAGAAGAGCGUCUCAUCAUGAACCUGUUUUUAUCUAUAGAUGACUUCACAUUAAGUAAUUCUUGUCUCACCUCGUGUUUGGAUUUGAUCUCCCUUUUCUAAUUCAUUAAAAGUGUUGAAAAUAGUGUUUCUGAUUUGAUUUCCUAGAUGAGUAUAUAGACAAUAUCUGUUUAAAUAUGUACCUUUAAUCAUAGGAAUUUUAAACUCAUAUUAUGAAUAUAAUAUGUAUUACUGCUCUCGAACACCAUUUGCAUUGUAGCGUCGACUUCGUUAUUUCAUUGAUUUUUAUGAAAAAUAUUAUGCAGAGGAUACACCAGAUGACUGAAAUCUUAUAAAUGGAGGAAAUCAUUGAUUCAACUAUUUUAAUAAAAUAAACAGUCAAAAACUUGUUAAUAAUAAGAGAAGACACCAACACUAUGAAUGAGGAUAUUGUGGCAUGUAUAAUGUUUUGAAGAAAAUCGGUUUUGAUGAUCCUGAAGCUGGAUUUAACUAAAGGACUUUUGGCCCUGGAGUCCUUUAAAUUUAAAAAGAAACAUCGAUGCUGAAAACAACCUUCAGGAGUUGAUAAAAACGAUGAUACCACAUUAAAAUUAUCAAUGAAACAAUUUUACAGGAAAUAAUUUAUUGAAUUUUUGAAUGCCCUUAUUGUGGAAUACUGCGACAAUUUAAAGAAAAGUAUUUAUGUGUUGAAACCAUUUUUAUCAAUUCUUGCAGUAACAUCAGUUGAAGAUAUGGACAACCAUCUUAAAUUCUUUCCAAAGGUGGUUGAUAUUGAUUCAUAUUCUCUUCAAUCAGAAUUUCACAACUUUGUUUCCCAUGUUGCUUUUUUGAGGAGGAACAUGCGGGUUUGAAAGAUGUGGCCAACUUUUUUCACAAGAGGAAAUUUAUAUUUCCAUUAAUUAGAUUGUGUUAUCAUCUCGUCUUGACAGUAACAGCAACAGUUGCAAAUGACGAAAGAUUGAAGUUUAUAAAAACUUAUCUAAGAACUACAAUAACUGAUAGCCGUCUUCAAUCCCUAAUAUUGGUUAUUAAUAAUUUGCAAUAUUCGUGAAUUUUUGUCCUAUCCUUAUUUUCUCUAAUAUGUAUAAUGCUAAUUAAUGUGUUUUUUGUUCAAUAAAUUUCAUAAAUUAAAUAAAAUUUUCGAUGCGUAAAAUUUCAUUACAAUCUGAGAAAACAAAAUGAGAUAUCGUAGAAAGGAA